rnacentral:rRNA from 1 species
AUUGAACGCUGGCGGCAUGCCUUACACAUGCAAGUCGAACGGUAACAGGUCUUCGGAUGCUGACGAGUGGCGAACGGGUGAGUAAUGCAUCGGAACGUGCCCAGUAGUGGGGGAUAGCCCGGCGAAAGCCGGAUUAAUACCGCAUACGACCUGAGGGUGAAAGGGGGGGAUCGCAAGACCUCUCGCUAUUGGAGCGGCCGAUGUCAGAUUAGCUAGUUGGUGGGGUAAAGGCCUACCAAGGCAACGAUCUGUAGUUGGUCUGAGAGGACGACCAGCCAGACUGGGGCUGAGACACGGGCCAGACUCCUACGGGAGACAGCGGUGGGGAAGUUUGGACAAUGGGCGCAAGCCUGAUCCAGCAAUGCCACGUGCAGGAAGAAGGCCUUCGGGUUGUAAACUGCUUUUGUCAGGGAAGAAAUCUUCUGGGUUAAUACCUCGGGAGGAUGACGGUACCUGAAGAAUAAGCACCGGCUAACUACGUGCCAGCAGCCGCCGUAAUAC